rnacentral:rRNA from 1 species
GACGAACCGUGCGAACGUUGUUCGGAUUCACUGGGCUUAAAGGGCGCGUAGGCGGGCGGUCAAGUCGGGGGUGAAAUCUUUCAGCUUAACUGGAAAAGUGCCUCCGAUACUGAUCGCCUCGAGGGAGGUAGGGGCAUGUGGAACUUCCGGUGGAGCGGUGAAAUUCGUAGAUAUCGGGAGGAACACCAGUGGCGAAGGCGGCGAUCUGGGAAGAUACUGACGCUGAGGUGCGAAAGCGUGGGGAGCAAACAGG